AUGGAUGAAUGGAUGAACAGGCAAGCAAAUGACACAUGCAUGCCUACCUUCAACUGCUGUGAACACAUUGUGCUAGUAUUGUGUGGAAUCCAAGGAAAAAUAUACGAGGGAAGCUCUCCUAAAGUUGCCUUAGAAGGUGCUACAGCAAUGCAUUGUAAGGGAUGCGUUUAAUGGUUCCUGAAUGAUACACCUUACAGGAAGAAGCUGCCCCUUUCUCAAUAAUACAGUCUUAUAAUAGUCUUCGUAAAUUAGAAGAAAUAGUUUUAAAAGGCAGAACUCUGUAGGUAAAGAAAAUUGAGUGGUCUAAAUGCUUCACUACUCCAUACAUGGGUAUAGUGGAAACAUUUCACUGCCUGCUAGCCCACUGCCACCACCGCUGGCUUCUCAGUUUUAGUCUUCGAGGCUCACCUGAACUUGGCACGCUCUGUGUUAGAUUACUCAACCUGUCUGCCCCACAGAAACUCACCUCCCUAACUGCUGCGUGCUGCUUUCUCUUUUCGAGAGUUGGACUACACCCAAAGCCACUGUCAAAUGUCAUGGGGAUGAGACUUCACGAGGAGAUAUUGGAGACUUUAAUCAAGAGGAUUCUUGAAACAUGACCACCUGACAGUUGGAAGACAGUUUUCCACCCCAUAAAGGUGAGAAUUUUUCAGGUUAUUUGAUUUCUUUUGAUUGAAUAGGAUAAUCUUCUACUUUAGGUUGAUGUAAUCAUAUUUCAUAACAUAACUGAUACAAAAGAUAGCAAGACAGAAAAGCAGAAAGUCAAGACUUUGGUUACAAACAUUUCUUGUGGCAGUGCCCUUUUGUGAAUUUUAAAAUUGAAUUUAAGACCCCUUUUUGUCAUUCUUUAUAUUUUCAUCUUGUUAAGUCUUCCCCUAGAGUCAAGGUGUUCUGUUAUUUGACAAACAUUUUAACUAUGUGUUUGUGAGCCCAAGUAUAUCCUACAACAGGAUAAAGGAAGCAAUGGUGUUACUGUUUUCUGGACACAUUCUUGUAGAACAAAUGAUUUGUCAUAUGAUCUUAGAACAUUCCAAUUUCAGAAGAUAUAUGUUAAAGAUAUCCAAGUUAUGUGUAUUCAUACAUAUGUUUGCUUAUAUUAUAUAGUUUAUAAAUUUACUUAAACUUUCCUUUACCUAAAGGAGCUAUAUGUUUUACAUUAGAAAAUACUAAAUGUUCAAAGAAAUACAUUAUUAACAAAAACUAAAACUGUACCUUUAUUAUUUGAAAUAAGUAUAUUAUGGACAAAUACUUAUUCUUAAAAAUUGCUUUUGGGGAGUUCCCGUUGUGGCAUAAUGGAAAUGAAUCCAACUAGGAACCAUGAGGUUGCGGAUUCAAUUGCUGGCCUCACUCAGUGGGUUAAGAAUCUGGUGUUGCCAUGAGCUGUGGUGUAGGUCAUAGACUCGGCUUGGAUCCUGCAUUACUGUGGCUCUGGCAUAGACCAGCAGCAACAGCUCCGAUUAGACCCCUAGCCUGGGAACCUCCAUAUGCCACUGUUGUGACCCUAAAAAGAUAAAAGACCAAAAAACAAAACAAAACAAAAAAACGAAAACGAAGCAAACACUGCAUUCUUUUAUAGCAUUAACUGAUUAACGUAGUGGGAAUUAGAGCCACUUAACAAAAAUUAUUUCCAAGACUUUCUCUUAUAGUUGAUCUCUAAUCUCAUAGUGUUGUGGUCAGAAAAGAUGCUUGAUAUGAUUUCAAUAUUCUUAAAUUUACUGAGGCUUGCUUUGUGGCCUAACACAUGAUCAAUACUGGAGAAUUUUCCGUGUGCACUUGAGAAGACUGUGUAUUCUGUUGAUUUUUAGAUGGAAUGCUCUAUAAAUAUCAAUUAGGUCCACCAAUUAGGUCUCAUUUAAGGCUUGUGUUUCGUUAUUGAUUUUCUGUUUGGAUGAUCAUUCCAUUGCUAUGAAAGGGGUGUUAGUCCCCCACUGUUACUCUGUUACUAUUGAUUUCUCGUUUUAUGGCUAUCACCAUUUGACUUAUAUAUUGAAAUGCUCUUAUGUUGGGUGCAUAUGUAUUUAUAAUUGUUAUAUCUUCUUUUUGGAUUGAUCCCUUGGUUAUUAUGUAGUGUCCUUCUUUGUUUCUUAUAGCAGUCUUUAUUUUAAAGUCUAUUUUGCUUGAGUUUUGCUACUUCAGUUUUCUUUUGGUUUACAUUUACAUGGAACAUUUUUUCCAUCCCCUCACUUUCAGUCUGUAUAUAUCCCUAGAUAAGAAGUGGGUCUUUUGUAGACAACAUAUAAACAGGUCUUGUUUUUGUAUCCAGUCUGCCAGUGUAUGUCUUUUGGUUGUAUUAUUUAAUCCACUUACAUUUAAGGUAAUUAUCAGUAUAUACGUCUUUAAUGCCAUUUUAUUAAUUGUUUUGGAUUUAUUUCUGUAGGUCUUUUUUCUUCCCUUCCUCUUUUGUUCUCUUGUGAUUUGGUGACUAUAUUUAAUGUUAUUUGGAUUGCUUUUUCUUUUUUUGGUGUGUAUCUAUUGUAGAUUUUUGGUUUGCAGAGCAUGGGAUUUGAUUAUAUCAUGAAAGCCCCCCAUCUACCAUCUAAUUGCACCUUCUUCUUUGUCUUUGGAUGUAGCAUAUCUUUUUGGUAAGUUCUGAUUUUUUGUUGUUCUUGUUGAUGGCUGUUCAACAACAGCAGUUAGUUGUGAUUUUGGUGUUUUUCUGAGAGGAGGUGAGCUCAAGUACUUAUACUCUGCCAUCUUAUCUUUUUGUUAUAAAUUAAUUUAUUAACCAGCUCCAAUUUUUUAUUGAAGCAAAACUGACAGACAAUAUUAUAUUGAUUCUUAUGUACAAUAUAAUGAUUUGAUAUUUGUAUAUAUUGCAAAAUAAUUGCCACAAAGUCUAGUUAACAUCUGUCAGCAUACAUGGUUACAAAAUUUUUUUCUUGUGUUGAGAACUUUUAAGAUCCACUAUCUUAGCAACUUUCAAACUGUAAUAUAGUAUUAUUAACUAUAGUCUCCAUACUCUACCCUAUAUUGCCAUGACUCACUUAUAACCAUAAAUUUGUACCUUUUGACUACCUUCAUCUAUUUUAUCCACCCCUACUCCUCACCUCUGGUAGCCACUAAUCUUUUCUCCAUAUCUAUGAGCUUAGUUUUUUGUUUUGGUUUGUCUUGUUUUUUUGUGCCUUAUUUGUUUGUUUUUCUAAAUUCCACAUAUAAGUGAUAUCAUUUAGUAUUUGUCUUUCUCAGUCUAGCUUAUUUCACUUAGCAUGAUGACCUCAAGUUCCAUCCAUGUCAUUGCAAACAGCAAGAUUUCCUUUUUUAUGGCUGAAAAAUAUUGUUAUGUAUAUUUAUUUUGAUAGGAAUUGCAUUGAACCUAUAGAUUGCUUUGGGGGGGUCUGGACAUUUUAACAAUAUUAAUUCUUCCAACCAAUGAAUAUAGAAUAUCUUUCCAUAUAUAUGUGUCUUCAAUUUCUUUCAUCAAUCUCUUAUAGUUUUCAGUGUAUUUCAAUGGAUAAUAAAAUGCCUAUUCCUGGGUAAUUUAUUCUUUGA
ensembl:lncRNA